rnacentral:misc_RNA from 1 species
GAUGAAGAACGUAGCGAAAUGCGAUAAGUAAUGUGAAUUGCAGAAUUCAGUGAAUCAUCGAAUCUUUGAACGCACAUUGCGCCCGCCAGUAUUCUGGCGGGCAUGCCUGUUCGAGCGUCAUUACAACCCUCAGGCCCCCGGGCCUGGCGUUGGGGAUCGGCGGAGCCCCCCGUGGGCACACGCCGUCCCCCAAAUACAGUGGCGGUCCCGCCGCAGCUUCCAUCGCGUAGUAGCUAACACCUCGCGACUGGAGAGCGGCGCGGCCACGCCGUAAACCACCCAACUCUUCUGAAGUUGACCUCGAAUCAGGUAGGAAUACCCGCUGAACUUAAGCAUAUCAAUAAGCGGAGGA